rnacentral:pre_miRNA from 1 species
UAACAUUUGCAGGCUGGCCGGCCCCAGGCUGGGCUGGGUGAGUAUCUCUUUGACAGGCUCACCCUCAGGUACAACUAGGAGC